AACACGUGAGUAACCUGCCCUUGACACUGGGAUAACACCUGGAAACAGGUGCUAAUACCGGAUACGAACCUUCUAGGCAUCUGGAAGGUUGGAAAGCUCCGGCGGUCAAGGAUGGACUCGCGGCCUAUCAGCUUGUUGGUGAGGUAACGGCUCACCAAGGCUCCGACGGGUAGCCGGCCUGAGAGGGCGACCGGCCACAUUGGGACUGAGAUACGGCCCAAACUCCUACGGGAGGCAGCAGUGGGGAAUAUUGCACAAUGGGCGCAAGCCUGAUGCAGCAACGCCGCGUGCGGGAAGACGGCCUUCGGGUUGUAAACCGCUUUCAGCAGGGACGAAGCUAACGUGACGGUACCUGCAGAAGAAGCACCGGCUAACUACGUGCCAGCAGCCGCGGUGAUACGUAGGGUGCGAGCGUUGUCCGGAUUUAUUGGGCGUAAAGAGCUUGUAGGCGGUUUGUCGCGUCGGGAGUGAAAACUCAGGGCUUAACCCUGAGCCUGCUUCCGAUACGGGCAGACUUGAGGAAGGUAGGGGAGAAUGGAAUUCCUGGUGAAGCGGUGGAAUGCGUAGAUAUCANGAGGAACACCAGUGGCGAAGGCGGUUCUCUGGACCUUUCCUGACGCUGAGAAGCGAAAGCGUGGGGAGCAAACAGGCUUAGAUACCCUGGUAGUCCACGCCGUAAACGGUGGGUACUAGGUGU
rnacentral:rRNA from 1 species